rnacentral:rRNA from 1 species
UGCGCAGGCGGCCUGAUAAGUCAGGGGUGAAAUAUGACGGCUUAACCGUCAAACGGCCCCUGAAACUGCCAGGCUUGAGUCCGGGAGAGGAUGGUGGAAUUCCUGGUGUAGCGGUGAAAUGCGUAAAUAUCAGGAGGAACACCGGUGGCGAAGGCGGCCAUCUGGCCCGGUACUGACGCUCAGGCACGAAAGCUAGGGGAGCGAACAGGAUUAGAUACCCUGGUAGUC